GCUCUAAUGAGAGCCACACAGUCUGCUCUGUAUUUCUACUGUAAAUGAACAGCCUCUCACUGAGCGCAGCCUGGCUCUGCUGAAGUCGAUGGGGGUUCCUUUGACCUCCACAGCAUUUGAGUGUCAACCUGUUCCUCAAAUGAGUGUCAGAAAGUUCCCAGUGACAGCAGCUAAAGCCUUGGCAUUUGGCUAAAUGUGUGUGCAAAGCUGGUACUACUGGUGAUGCAGCCAGCUCUACUUACAUGAUGAGGGCAGAUCACAGGGGAAUAGUAUCCGAAAGCUUUUCUCACAAAUCCUUUGGGGAAGACAGGAUGCUGAUGCAGCAGGCCAACAUAUAUACUGUUUUAUCUUCUAUCAGGAAGUGCACACUUUACAACACGUUGCAAUAGAGCAACAGGGUUAUGAAUAUUCCACUACAUGGUGUAUGUUAAAUAACAGCAUCCGGACUUUACUGAGUUUAUUUUAUAACUGAAAGCACUUGGUAAUAUCUUCAAUAAAAAGGCACAAAAAUACUGCUGCAUAAUUCAGUGAGAAUUGCCUUGGCAGCUGUGUUCUGUUUCCUGAGACUUUUGAUAAUUGAGAGCUACUAAUAAUAAUCUGACCAUGGUUUUGUAAAAGAACCAGAAUCUGGAAAAGCAUGCACGUUUUGCGAACAGCAGCAUUAAUUACGGGUUAUUAAACGGAAGGGAAGAAUUUCACUCAGUCAUGGCUUUGAUUGACCUGUCAGUAUCUGCUCAGAAGAAACAAGAGAUCACAUUCUUCAUUUCUCUGUAAGUUAUUAGUUUCAAAUAUAUUUUUAUUCUUGUAUGAAUUACAAUAGAUACAUCUGAAAAUGAGAGCAUUGUAUUUCAUCCUAAUUGCCUGAGAGCUACACUUGUCCGGGGCCGGCAUGGCAUAUUGGAUGAUGACACUCGACAGUGAGUCAAGUGCAAGGGCUGCUUUUAUGUUUCUGGGAAGAAGAUCACUUCAGCCUCUUCUAUCUGUUUAUUUAUGUAGAUUGUAAACUCCUCAGGAGCAAGGCCAGUUCUGUUACUAUUAUUACUGUCCUCAGAGUAAACAGGCUGUAAAAUAAGAUCAUGUUAAAGCUGACAAUCUUCCUCCUGUUAUCUGCAUCCCUCUCAUAUAUUCUCCCCCAUACCCUUCAGCUUUUCCUAAGCUAGCAACAAGUAACAAACUUUAGAUGUAUUAUUACGUAGGCUGCAAUAUAUAAACUACUUCAUACGCAAGUUGGCGUGGAGCAGGAUUAGGGAUCCUGUUAUGACCUUCAGCUGUACCUUUUGCAGGGCUGAGGCUGCUAAAAUCUCUGCCAAACUGCUGUGGGCCACUGAACCUGCCUAGCAGUAGGUGUUGAGAUUCUUCUUCCACCCUUCUGCCAGAAUUAAUGGUCCACUUUUCUGAU